rnacentral:rRNA from 1 species
ACGCUAGCUAUAGGCUUAACACAUGCAAGUCGAGGGGAAACGGCAUUAUGUGCUUGCACAUUUUGGACGUCGACCGGCGCACGGGUGAGUAUCGCGUAUCCAACCUGCCCUUUACUUGGGGAUACCCCGUUGAAAGACGGCCUAAUACCCGAUGUAAUUCAUUGAUGGCAUCAGAUAUGAAUAAAAGAUUUAUCGGUAAAGGAUGGGGAUGCGUCUGAUUAGCUUGUUGGUGAGGUAACGGCUCACCAAGGCAACGAUCAGUAGGGGUUCUGAGAGGAAGGUCCCCCACAUUGGAACUGAGACACGGUCCAAACUCCUACGGGAGGCAGCAGUGAGGAAUAUUGGUCAAUGGGCGCAAGCCUGAACCAGCCAAGUAGCGUGCAGGAAGACGGCCCUAUGGGUUGUAAACUGCUUUUAUACGAGAAUAAUUUGAUGCACGUGUGCGUUAUUGCAUGUAUCGUAUGAAUAAGGACCGGCUAAUUCCGUGCCAGCAGCCGCGGUAAUACGGAAGGUCCAGGCGUUAUCCGGAUUUAUUGGGUUUAAAGGGAGUGUAGGCGGUUUGUUAAGCGUGUUGUGAAAUUUAGGUGCUCAACAUUUAACUUGCAGCGCGAACUGUCAGACUUGAGUACACGCAACGUAUGCGGAAUUCAUGGUGUAGCGGUGAAAUGCUUAGAUAUCAUGAAGAACUCCGAUUGCGAAGGCAGCAUACGGGAGUGUAACUGACGCUUAAGCUCGAAGGUGCGGGUAUCGAACAGGAUUAGAUACCCUGGUAGUCCGCACAGUAAACGAUGGAUGCCCGCUGUUAGCGCCUGGCGUUAGCGGCUAAGCGAAAGCAUUAAGCAUCCCACCUGGGGAGUACGCCGGCAACGGUGAAACUCAAAGGAAUUGACGGGGGCCCGCACAAGCGGA